ACGAGUUUUAAUUGUUAGGUUAGAAGGUGAGCUGGUUAAUCUAAUUAAUAUUGUGCUUACUCUAGAUCGAAAACAAGCACCACUCAUUACUUAGACACUUGUGAACUUAUUCAUUACAAACAUUAUUAUUUGUUAUGGAACGUUUGAUUUAUUAAAAAGUUUAAUAC
rnacentral:misc_RNA from 1 species